AGAGUUUGAUCAUGGCUCAGAUUGAACUCUGGCGGCAUGCUUUACACAUGCAAGUCGAACGGCAGCGGGGGCUUCGGCCUGCCGGCGAGUGGCGAACGGGUGAGUAAUACAUCGGAACGUGUCCUUAAGUGGGGAAUAACGCAUCGAAAGAUGUGCUAAUACCGCAUAUCUCUCAGGAGGAAAGCAGGGGAUCGAAAGACCUUGCGCUAAAGGAGCGGCUGAUGUCUGAUUAGCUAGUUGGUGGGGUAAAGGCUUACCAAGGCAACGAUCAGUAGCUGGUCUGAGAGGACGACCAGCCACACUGGGACUGAGACACGGCCCAGACUCCUACGGGAGGCAGCAGUGGGGAAUUUUGGACAAUGGGCGAAAGCCUGAUCCAGCCAUGCCGCGUGAGUGAAGAAGGCCUUCGGGUUGUAAAGCUCUUUUAGUCGGAAAGAAAGAGUCAUAGUAAAUAGCUAUGAUUUAUGACGGUACCGACAGAAAAAGCACCGGCUAACUACGUGCCAGCAGCCGCGGUAAUACGUAGGGUGCGAGCGUUAAUCGGAAUUACUGGGCGUAAAGGGUGCGCAGGCGGCCUUGUAAGUCAGAUGUGAAAGCCCCGGGCUUAACCUGGGAAUUGCGUUUGAAACUACAAAGCUAGAGUGCAGCAGAGGGGAGUGGAAUUCCAUGUGUAGCAGUGAAAUGCGUAGAGAUGUGUAAGACCACCGAUGGCGAAGGCAGCUCCCUGGGU
rnacentral:rRNA from 1 species